CCACACCGGUACCGGCAGGAAGUGACGACACCAAGACGCUGAGCGUCCGCCGGAAGUGACGAUCCGGCGGGAAGGCGGGUUUGUCAGGGAGAAGAGGCUUAGUGGAGCCAGAAGGACGGCAGCGCGCUGGCGCGAGAUCAGCGUUCGUUGAGCACGUGACGCUGGCCCUGUGCCCGCUACGCACGGCCCCUGGCGGCGCUUUAAGCUCUGGAUCAAAAAGUCCCGGCGAGCAACUUUGAGCGAUUACUUCUGGUUCAUUAUAAAAGGAUAUAACUCAGGAACAACUGGCAAAAGAGAUGCACAGGGCAAGGUGUGUGGGAAGGAAUGUGGUGCUUCUCUGUCCUCUCUGGGAGUGUCACUAUCCUAGCACCUCCACGUGGUCACCAACCUGGAAUCUCCAGAGUCAAGAUUUCUGGUCCAGACCAUCAAGCUACAAACAGCAAUUCUGUAAACCCACAAAGCCAGCAAAAGAUCCAUAACCUGAGUAGGAUGCCAGUGGAUAGAAAUGGGACUCUUACUGGAAACCUAAUGUGUGGUCUUUAGACUUGCGUUAUGCUUUCUUGGGAAAACAAGACGGUAGUUUAUAUAGUUUGUAUUUGGAAGGAAAUAAAAUUA